rnacentral:rRNA from 1 species
UGAGGAAUAUUGGUCAAUGGGCGAGAGUCUGAACCAACCAAGUAGCGUGCAGGAAGACGGCCCUAUGGGUUGUAAACUGCUUUUAUACGGAAAUAAAGUGAGGUACCGUGUCUCAUUAUUUGUACGGUACUAGUAUGAAUAAGGACCGGCUAAUUCCAGUG